rnacentral:rRNA from 1 species
GAUGAACGCUGGCGGCGUGCCUAAUACAUGCAAGUCGAGCGAACAGACGAGGAGCUUGCUCCUCUGACGUUAGCGGCGGACGGGUGAGUAACACGUGGAUAACCUACCUAUAAGACUGGGAUAACUUCGGGAAACCGGAGCUAAUACCGGAUAAUAUAUUGGACCGCAUGGUUCACUAGUGAAAGACGGUUUUGCUGUCACUUAUAGAUGGAUCCGCGCCGCAUUAGCUAGUUGGUAAGGUAACGGCUUACCAAGGCAACGAUGCGUAGCCGACCUGAGAGGGUGAUCGGCCACACUGGAACUGAGACACGGUCCAGACUCCUACGGGAGGCAGCAGUAGGGAAUCUUCCGCAAUGGGCGAAAGCCUGACGGAGCAACGCCGCGUGAGUGAUGAAGGUCUUCGGAUCGUAAAACUCUGUUAUUAGGGAAGAACAAAUGUGUAAGUAACUAUGCACGUCUUGACGGUACCUAAUCAGAAAGCCACGGCUAACUACGUG